AUUGAACGCUGGCGGCAUGCUUUACACAUGCAAGUCGAGCGGCAGCGCGGGGCAACCUGGCGGCGAGCGGCGAACGGGUGAGUAACAUAUCGGAACGUACCCAGUCGUGGGGGAUAACUAUCCGAAAGGAUAGCUAAUACCGCAUACGACCUGAGGGUGAAAGCGGGGGACCGGAAAGGCCUCGCGCGAUUGGAGCGGCCGAUAUCGGAUUAGCUAGUUGGUGAGGUAAAGGCUCACCAAGGCGACGAUCCGUAGCUGGUCUGAGAGGACGACCAGCCACACUGGAACUGAGACACGGUCCAGACUCCUACGGGAGGCAGCAGUGGGGAAUUUUGGACAAUGGGGGCAACCCUGAUCCAGCCAUUCCGCGUGAGUGAUGAAGGCCUUAGGGUUGUAAAGCUCUUUCAGUAGGGAAGAUAAUGACGGUACCUACAGAAGAAGCCCCGGCUAACUUCGUG
rnacentral:rRNA from 1 species